rnacentral:rRNA from 1 species
GACGAACCGUGCGAACGUUGUUCGGAUUCACUGGGCUUAAAGGGCGCGUAGGCGGGCUCGCCAGUCUGUGGUGAAAGCCCCCGGCUUAACCGGGGAAGUGCCGUGGAUACUGCGUGUCUUGAGGAGGGUAGGGGCAUCUGGAACGCUGGGUGGAGCGGUGAAAUGCGUUGAUAUCCAGCGGAACUCCGGUGGCGAAGGCGAGGUGCUGGACCCUUUCUGACGCUGAGGCGCGAAAGCCAGGGGAGCAAACGGG